CCUACGGGAGGCAGCAGUGGGGAAUAUUGGACAAUGGGGGCAACCCUGAUCCAGCCAUGCCGCGUGUGUGAAGAAGGCCCUCGGGUUGUAAAGCACUUUCAGUGAGGAAGAACGCCUGGUGGUUAAUACCCAUCAGGAAAGACAUCACUCACAGAAGAAGCACCGGCUAACUCCGUGCCAGCAGCCGCGGUAAUACGGAGGGUGCGAGCGUUAAUCGGAAUUACUGGGCGUAAAGCGCGCGUAGGUGGCUUGAUAAGCCGGUUGUGAAAGCCCCGGGCUCAACCUGGGAACGGCAUCCGGAACUGUCAAGCUAGAGUGCAGGAGAGGAAGGUAGAAUUCCCGGUGUAGCGGUGCAAUGCGUAGAGAUCGGGAGGAAUACCAGUGGCGAAGGCGGCCUUCUGGACUGACACUGACACUGAGGUGCGAAAGCGUGGGUAGCAAACAGGAUUAGAUACCCGGGUAGUC
rnacentral:rRNA from 1 species